AUUGAACGCUGGCGGCAUGCUCUACACAUGCAAGUCGAACGGUAACAGGCCGCGAGGUGCUGACGAGUGGCGAACGGGUGAGUAAUGCAUCGGAACGUGCCCAGUCGUGGGGGAUAACUCCUCGAAAGAGUAGCUAAUACCGCAUACGAUCUAUGGAUGAAAGCGGGGGACCGUAAGGCCUCGCGCGAUUGGAGCGGCCGAUGUCAGAUGAGGUAGUUGGUGGGGUAAAGGCUCACCAAGCCAACGAUCUUAAGCUGGUCUGAGAGGACGACCAGCCACACUGGGACUGAGGCACGGCCCAGACUCCGACGGGGAGCAGCAGUGGGGAAUUUUGGACAAGGGGGGCAAGCCUGAUCCAGCAAUGCCGCGUGCAGGAAGAAGGCCUUCGGGUUGUAAACUGCUUUUGUACGGAACGAAGCAGCUCUGGUUAAUACCCGGGGCUAAUGACGGUACCGUAAGAAUAAGCACCGGCUAACUACGUG
rnacentral:rRNA from 1 species